CAAAACACCAAGGGUGUUCUAACCAACGGGCUCUUAGAACUUUUCCAUUUCCAUGACAAUUUCAUAUACACCCAGCCUCAGUUCUGUGACAUGCAUCUAACCACCUCUCCUCUGCCUUGGAUGGAGUACAGCAGUGG
rnacentral:lncRNA from 14 species